rfam:Triticum aestivum genome assembly, contig: Triticum_aestivum_CS42_TGACv1_scaffold_623950_7DS
CAAGUACUCCCCCGUCCCGAAUUACGUCUUGAAAAUGGAUAGAAAUGGAUGUAUCUAGAACUAAAAAUAUGUCUAGAUACAUCAUUUCUGCGACAAAUAAUUUGGGACGGAGGGAGUAUAUA